rnacentral:misc_RNA from 1 species
UCGAGUUAGGGUCUUCUCAGGCCCGACCUCCCAACCCUUUGUCGAACUUACUACUUGUUGCUUCGGCGGGCCCGUCCCCCCUUCUCGAGGGGACCGCCGGAGGACCGUCAAACCGUCCUCUGGCCCGCGCCCGUCGACAGCCCCAAUUUAUUAAAACUCUGAACAAACCAUGUCACAAUCUGAGUACCUAUUUGAAAAUAAAGCAA